UGGAAACGGCAAAUUAUCGGAUCAGUAAGUCGGCUUGGUUGAAAAUCGAGGAACAUUCGAUUGUAGCCAACAUUGUCCAACGUACCGAAGAUAUGACUGGUUUGGAUAUGUUAUCAGCCGAAGAGAUGCAAGUAGUUAAUUACGGUAUAGGUGGCCAUUAUGAACCACAUUUUGAUUUCGCUAGGAAGUGAAAUGGCACAUACCCUGGCAAGUCAUCAGUGUGGAUAUCCUAAUCAAAAACCCCCAGGAUGGUAAAAGUUUUUGAGUGUUUAUGUUUAUAGUACAUCAUUUAAUUGAAUGUACCUUUAUUUUCACUUUUAUUCACCUUGAAAGUACUUUUUUAUGCUUAUUAUUGUUUAAAUUAAUAUUGGAAUCUAAAUGAUAUAUUUAUGCCCACCAUCGUAAAAGGACACAUUAAAAUCAUCAAUUUCUUUACAUCAUAUAAGGUGUGCCGAAAGAUAGUAAUAGUUCUACCAAAAAUAGCGAAAAUAAAGCUAAAAUAGAUGGCUUUCGAACAGAUGAUUUGAACACGGUCUUGGGUGUGGCAGGUGAUGACGAAGCUGCUAAACUGAUAGCCAGUAUUAGUGUGCCGCAAAUGGUGCGGGUUAUGACUACUUUAGCGGUUCGCAGGCGACGCAGUACACCGUUGCUGAGAUCUUUGGCUUUUAAUAUCAGCAGCGCUAAUGAGCAAUUAGAUUUAAAGCAGUAUGCUGACGUUGUUACGCAAUGGCUAGCUUAAAUUUCCAAGAUGUUGUGCUAGCUGCCAAGCUUUGCGCUGAUAUACACUAAAGUUAACUAAACGAAUGAACGAAUUUAUAUUUUAAAAACUUAAGUUAUUUUGAAAACGCCAAAACAAAUUUUCUAUAAACUACGUGCUUUGAAACCAGGUUAUGUAAACUUAGUCUUUUUCCUUUUGUCUAGAUUUGGUUUCGAAGACGUAAGAAAUGUUGGGUUUACAACGUUAUGCUAUAGUCCUGGCUACUCAAUUUUUUCGAAAAGCCACCUAUUCAGGCAAUGCUUUAAGAUCGUCAACAAAUGUUGCCACAAAGGAAGCUACACAAGGUAACAAAUCAAAUAAGGUCACAAAUAAGGUAGAAGUAGAAACUAAAGGAGAUGAGCCGGUUAAAAGGCCUAAAGGAAAACUAAUUGCCGCUGCUUUUGAAAACCUUAAAGAUGAUUCGACUAAAGAGAGAAUUUUGCCAGAACCAAAGUUAUCUUCGACUUCUCCCUCGUUACCCUCGAUUGACGAGCAAAUAAUCAACGCUAAAACGGCCGUAUAUAAAAACCACUAUGUUACAUCGGUUGUUACGAGAUAACGACAAAAACACUUGAUUUGGGUCUUUGCAAAUUGGAUCGCAAUACCGUACAACGUCUACAAGAUUUCUUUGCAACAUCGGUAUCAUGACAUAAAAUACAUUUUUAAAUUGUUUACCAAACGAAGGCGCACAAGUGAAAAGUUUAUAAAAACCAACUUAAAAAGAAAGAGG